rnacentral:rRNA from 1 species
UACGUAGGCAGCGAGCGUUGUUCGGAAUUAUUGGGCGUAAAGAGCUCGUAGGCGGUUUGUCGCGUCGAAUGUGAAAACCCGGGGCUCAACCCCGGGCCUGCAUUCGAUACGGGCAGACUAGAGUUCGGUAGGGGAGUCUGGAAUUCCUGGUGUAGCGGUGAAAUGCGCAGAUAUCAGGAGGAACACCGGUGGCGAAGGCGGGACUCUGGGCCGAUACUGACGCUGAGGAGCGAAAGCGUGGGGAGCAAACAGG